UACGUAGGGUGCGAGCGUUAAUCGGAAUUACUGGGCGUAAAGCGUGCGCAGGCUGUUUUGUAAGUCAGAUGUGAAAUCCCCGAGCUCAACUUGGGAACUGCGUUUGAAACUACAAGACUAGAAUAUGUCAGAGGGGGGUAGAAUUCCACGUGUAGCAGUGAAAUGCGUAGAGAUGUGGAGGAACACCGAUGGCGAAGGCAGCCUCCUGGGCCAAUACUGACGCUCAUGCACGAAAGCGUGGGGAGCAAACAGG
rnacentral:rRNA from 1 species